GGAAACUGAGGCCCAGAGGGUUUCAGGAGCUCCUCGGAAGCUAUCUCACCUCAGGCCACAUCGGGUGUGGGAGGGGGAUGAGCACGGAGCUGGUGUGGAAUCUCCAUGAUUGCGCGGGCACCAGCCCAUGUUCAAAGCUGUGCUCUCCUCCCCACCUCUGGAACUCAUGGAGAGAUUGGAGGGCGGCAGAGAAGAACGUGCAAUCUCCUCUCCUCCACUCUGAACCUUGUCAGCCAGAGUCAGAGAUGGGCAGGCUGGAGAGAUGGACCUGAGAGUUGGUGCCUUCCGGGAGGAACCUCAACCAAUAAGGUGGAGAAAAACCUGUCAACAUCCGCUUCUGUCCUCCCUGGGCCAGUUCUGAGGUGUGUUCUCCUGUGUCUCGGGACCACGCAUUGUUGUGCCCUGAUACCCACCGCUGUCACCUCGCAUCGCUGCCACCCUUUGUUCCUGCUCUUCCCUCACUGCUCAGCCCCUCCUCCUUGCUUCCUGGGGCCACCUACCAAAUAGGCCUCUUAUACCUGGAGCUGUAGCUUAGGGUCUGCUUCGGGGAGGAAACCAGACCAGGACAAGGAGGGUUCACGUGCUUGGAAUUGUGAUGGUUAUUUUAAAAAGUGAGUGUAAAGUACUCAGCAGAUGGCUAGAUAUUGAUGAUAGAUAGACAGACAAAACAUUGGAAAAUGGCAAUGAAG
rnacentral:lncRNA from 1 species